rnacentral:lncRNA from 1 species
UCGAACCCAAGCAGUAACUAACUUUCCUAUAACACAAAUUAUAUCUACAAAAUAAAGAGGAGUAAAACAUAGAUUUAAAAGGAUAAAACGUGCUUCAGAAUUCAACUUUCUCCAUAUUCUACAAAGAGAACCAACAACAUUUAUCCCAAUCUGUAAUUCUUUUGUAAUAGAAAAUAUGUCUAUAAAAUAAAGAAGAUUAAAAUGUAAAUUUAGAGUGACAACAAGUGUUUCACAUCAAAACUCACAAGCAACAAUAUUUCAACUAAGUAGAAGAGCAUUGAAUUGAAGAUAAAUAAAUGAAGGCAGAUUACAACCAUUAAAAAGCAAAGUAAAAAUGAUAUGCAACUUGUAUAUUUUGCUACAAACUGAUUUGUGAAAGUAGAUGAAUAUCUUUUGUUUAUGUGAUAAACACCUCUUCGUCUUGUAAUAUCAUCAAUUGAUAUUUCUUGUUUCUCUCCCUGUUGGUUCGAGGAUGGCCUUUAUCUACCACUUGAACUUUACAAGUCCAUUCUUCCGUGUUCUCGUCGAUUUUGUUGAUAUUCUAUAUUUCUGUCAUGGAUGGUAACUGAGAUUAAAAUAUGCAAGCCAACAUAAUAACGAAAGAUAUGAAAUAGAGGGAUAUAUGAAGUUAAAUAAUAGGGAUAAUGUCCAAGUACCCCCUCAACCUAUGCCCGAAAUCCCAGAGACACACUUAUACUAUACUAAGGUCCUAUUACCCCCCUGAACUUAUUUUAUCAAUAAUUUUUUACCCCUUUUCGGCCUACGUGGCACUAUCUUGUGGGUCCAACGAUGGUUGACUUUUUUUUUGAAACCAGUGCCACGUAGGCAAAAAAGGGGUAGAAAAUUACUUAUAAAAUAAGUUCAGGGGGGUAAUAGGACCUUAGUAUAGUAUAAGUGUGUCUCUGGGAUUUCGGGCAUAGGUUGAGGGGGUACUUGGGUAUUUUCCCUAAAUAAUAUAAUACAAUAUGUUGUCUACCUAUGAAAAACUUAAGAUAGUUUCAAGAAAAAUCUUUUUCAAUAAUGAGAUCAUGUUUCCACGUAUACCAUCUACUAAUAAAUUCUUACUUUGUCUAAACACAUUUCUGUUAAUUUUCUAGUCAUUUUCCGCUUCAUUAGUAGCAAGACAAUAACUUUGUAUCCUUGAACUCCUAAGACACAUCCAAAUCUUCUAUCAAUCAAAAUGGAGCAGAACAGAGUGAUUGAACAACUACUAACGAAGGAGAUAAAAUGAGGAGUGAGAGAAAAAGAGAUCAUAAUAACGGAUAGGAAAGAACAUACCUAUAAACGAACCUUAGUUGUAAGAAUUUCAAAUCCUUACCUUCACCCUGCACCGUAAAAUAAUUAUAGAAUAAAUUUAGUAUUUUUGUAAUUUUUAUUCAUCAAACAACAUCUGUUAUACUAUGUGGCCUUAUCUACACAGACAAUUAAGUUGAUCACAAAAUUAAAGGUUGCUAACUUUUUUUUCCAAAGAGGUCGUGCCAAAAUACACAUUAAUAAUAGGAAUUCAGAUAAACAAAAGGUUACUUCAUCUAACAAAACACAAUAAAAAUGUGAAAGAAAUAAAGAAUAGUACACCAAAAACCAUAAUUACUCAACCAAUAUCAUAGAGUUAAGAACAAUUCUAAUGAAAAUGGAUCUCACUAUUAUAGUUGGAUGGAAAUAGAAAUGGGAUGAACCAAUCUAAAUGAAAAUGAGCAGAAGUGUAUAACUUGGACAGCUACAGGCAUUCCAUGAACCUCUUUAGCAUUUUGAAACACAGUUAGAUCAUGCCCUGAUCGACUCUUGAAUUACUACACUGCUAGUACAAAUUAGGGUUGUGGAAAGUCUCUAUCAAAGUUUGGAAUACACUCCUGCAACUUUAUGGCGGUCCACAUGCAAUGGAAGUAGUGCAAGAAUUUGUUAGGAUAGAAAAGAAUAUGUUAUUAUAGUAAAAUACUGAUAUAUCUCCUUAAUUUUCUUUUGGGGCAUCAUAGCUUCAGUUAAUGAUGUAAAAGUCAUAAUAAAAAAAUAAAAUAAAAUAAUUUUAAAGCCAUGAUCAUUUCAACAUGUGAAGUAGUUGUUCUGUAUUUACUGUCCAACAAUAGUCUUGAUGUUGAAAAUCAACAAUAAGGCUCCUUACUUGAUUAGAAAACCAGCUUUCCGUAAACCUUAAUGGGGGAAGUUGAUUUGUGCUGAUAAGUAGCUGAUGACUAUUGUUGUAGCUACUUUACAAAAUUAUUGGGACUCCAAAACACAAGAUAAAUAAAAAAUUACAAAAAUCGAGAAAAUUAAUUCAGAUGGGGAAAAAUCAUAUAUGAACAGAGGAAGUUGAAAAUAAUUUUGAUAAAGAAACUCAAGCUAAAUAAACCACAAAGUAAAUUGGAAGUCCAAACUAAUACUACAUGUAACAAAAGACAACCAAAAUCUACUGCAUGUGAAAAUAUAUAGAUUUUUGAUAUAUGAACAUAGGAAGAUAAGCUGAUGUAUGCCAUUGUUUUCGGUUAAGCUCAAACAAACACAAUGCUACUCAAAGAUACAAACUUUUAAAGGGAAACAACCCAUUUAGGCACAGAAAUAAAAUUUAUAAACUACAUCAAUCCAUCAUAUUAAAAAUUAAAUUCAAUUUCAUUCUUGAUUAUACACCAUAAACAAGAAGAGAGCUUUAGUUUUUAUGUUAUUUUUUUGAAAAAAAAGGGUUCUUACAUUGGCAAUAGAAUCCAAUUGAUGCACAAAACCUUUGUUCUUUCUUGUUCAUCUCUUAUAAACCUCCAUACCCCACAUACCCAAAUAAAAUUUCAUAUAUUCACACACCUAAAUCAAACUUAAUCACCCAAUCAAAAGGAUAAUCCAACGUUAAUAACAAUCCCAAAAGAAAAAAUAAGGAAACAUUCACAUACCCAAAAUAAAUUUGGAACUUCAACUUUGAUGAAAAGGAAGAUGACGGGGAAAAAAGCUCCACAUACCCAAAUCAAAUUUGGCAUAUUUAUACAUCUAUAUCAAAUUUAAUCACCCAACCAAAAGGAUAAUCCAACAUCCAUAAGAAAAUCUCAAAUGGGAAAACAAGGGAACAUUAGCUGAACCAAAUCAAAUUUGGAACUUCAACUUUGAUGAAAAUAAAAAUGACGGGAAAAAAACAAGCUCAAUUGGAACAUGCAAAAUCUUACCUGGUAAAUGAUGAAGAGAAAGAAUUGAACUUUGAUGUGAAAAUAGUGAUAUCAUUACAGGAAGAAUAGAAGGAAGACAUAGAGGAUCACAUGCAUAAGUUGAUAUCAGGAAGACACGUUGCAAAAAGAAAUUGAAAAGACAAAAAUUGAUUUAACAACAAGAUGACACCUAACCAUUAUAGAAACUUUAAAAGACAAAAAUGCCCCUAAAAAUGAAGCAAGCAUGUUGAACUAUCCUUU